ACGCUGAUUGGUAGUGUUGCUGGGCAACUGCAGUGGAAUAAACCAAAAUGGCGCUAUCGCCAAAGCACGCAUUGCAGUACUACUCAUUUACGCUGCCUGCCCAAAAAAGGUCACCGCUUGGAUUUAACUAAGCAAAUAGGUACACCUUUCUGAAUGGCCAGGUGAUGUGAGACAUGGGUAUGCACGGUCAAAACACUGUUGAAAGGUGGCCGGGCAGAAGACAAAUGAAUGUGGAAAGGUCUGUAAGUGAUAACACUACAAAAAGAAAUGGUCAUCAUCCACUGAGGAUCGUCAACUACCGUUAGUUCCAGGGCAGAAAAACCACUUGUCGACCCAGCAAAGAUAUUUUUGCCUCCUCUUCACAUGAAACUGGCACUAAUGAAGAUUUUGUGAAAGCAAUGAACAAGGAAGGUGAAGGAUUUUGUUAUUUAAGACAGAUGUUCCCAGGAUUAACUGACGCCAAGAUCAAAGAGGGCAUAUUUGUUGGCCCUCAGAUCAAACAACUUAUGAGUGACAAGCGGUUCGAAGAUCUGUUAGUUAGGCCGGAAAAAAUUGCCUGGAAAGCCUUUAAAGAUGUUCACAAUUAUAGAGCCCCAAACUAUAUUCAACUGGUAGACAAACUUCUACAUGCAUAUGAAGCAUUGAAGUGCAACAUGUCACUCGAUUCAUUUCCUCUACUCACACUUGGACUUCUUCCCUGCAGAACUUGGUGCUGUCAGUGAUGAACACGGUGAAAGGUUUCACCAGGACAUUGCUACAAUGGAAAAACGUUAUCAGGGCAACUGGAAUCCAUCAAUGCUGGCUGACUACUGUUAGGCACUGCAAUGUGAUGCACUUGACAUUGAAUACAAACGAAAAUCAAACACUUCUAAUUAUGUUGUACUUAAUAGCAGAUGAGAACCAUAAAGGCGAUUAAAUACGUAUAUUUCUCAGAGUUCCUACGUGAUGCAGCAAAACCAAAACCAUAUUUGUGCAUACCCAACAGGUACCUGUCACAAUUAGCAAAAACUUUUUAGAAAGCAAAACUUUUCAAAAAAAUUGUUGUCCAGUGAUACCUGUCCACCAUUCACUGCACCCCCCCCCCACCAUAUAGCCAUUGUCCCCUACUUUGUCCUCACCCCCACCAAUAUCUAUCUGUGAAAAAGGUGAACAGCCCUGAGCCUGUUGGUGCAUCUUCAGCCUCCUUGAAGUACCGUGCUGAUCAGCUGGCACUGCUUUUCACAGACAUCUUUAGUCAAUCCCUAGACCUCUUCAUUGUCCCAGCCUGCUCCAAAAGUUGAACAAUCAUAUCAGUCCCCAAAAAGCCAAGAUUUCAAGGCAUGAACGUUAACAGACCAGUUGCCCCGACAUCAGUAAUCACAAAGACUCUUGAGAGACUUAUGCUUGUCUACGUAAAAUCCAUCCCAGCCCCUUGCAGUUGGCGUAAAGGACAAACAGGUAUGCAGACCAUGCAGUCAACCUGGGAUUCCACUUCAUCUGCAGCAUUUGGAGUCUCCUGGAACCUAUGCCAGGAUCCUGUUUCAGCUCCGUGUUCAAUGUUAUAAUUCCAUCUCCGUUGCAAGACUAAACUUUCCCAGUACCUGAUGCCACAUGAUGUAGGAUUACUGACUUCCUUAAUGACAGGAAGCAGCAUGUGAGGCUGGGACAGAUCACCUCUCUGACCCUCAGCUCCGCAGCACCGUGGGGCUGAGCAUCCUCUCCAUUGUUUUUCUUGUUAGACUGUCCACUGCACAAUUUUUCAGGAAUCCCACUCUUUAAUGCUAUAUUACCCUUUAUUUGAGUUAUUGUUUUGUUUGUGUAGUUCUCAGAGCAGUCACCUAGUCCAAAUUCCUUUUGAAGAAGGAGCUUAGAGUGGAGUUCUUCUCACGUAUCUGCUACCCCUUGCUCCGAUAACCUAUAACACCUGUCCAAAAGCUCAUAUCUCAUGCUGAGUUAUGAAUUAGCAAAAGCCUCUUUAUACACACACACACACACUCGCACACGCUGCCACUCUGCUUCACACACAAUACUCAUUAAACAUGAAGUACAAGAAAAAAUGACCUCUAGUGACAUGUAGGUGAUUUUUAAAGAAACAGGGUUACAGCUGUAAAGUACAGGGCUAGAGAACACAGUAUCUAAGAGGGAGGUUAUAAGGGGCACUAAUAACAUAUAAUAUAUAUAUAUAUAUAUAUAAAGGUUAGUGUGUAUAUAUAUUACUGUUACUGUUUUUGUUGUUUGAACAAUGUAUUUAGUGUUUUUGGACAGGUGGAAAGUAUGACAAGUAAUCGAAAUCUUCAUUACCAUGAACAUCAUAAAAUAUCCCAUAAGAAAAAG